GGGGGCGUUUGGUUUUGACAGCAUAGUUCUUUGAAAGUAGAAGCAUGUACUGCGUUGCGUAAUUAGCAGUUUAAUCUGAAUACGAAACUACAAAUGGCAAUACUCAGUAUGCCAUGGCUGCCUAAUCAGUGAUUAAGUAGUCAUAUGGGCCGCCGGGCCGGUUGAUCUGUUACCACGCCCCGCCGCCGACUCAACAAACAAUACAGGUUGCGGUAAUCAGUCUCUUCUUGAAAGAGUAGUCACGCUGUUUACUUAAGUCAAAUGUGACUACGAGUCAAAUUGGUUCGUCCGGUUCCUGUUUGACUCCGACAAUUAAUUCCGGAAUAAACAUGUAGAAGACUUUCGGCGAAUAUGUUUGGACACCGGUUCGAAUCCGGUCGCCUCCACUA
rnacentral:tmRNA from 1 species